CUUUACUGUAACUUGAAAUUGGAAUUGGACUUUACUUGCGCAGUAUAGGUGGGAAGCGUUGAAAAUACUCUUGCGGGAGUAUGGGAGCUAUCAGUGAGAUACCACUCUUGUAAUGUUAGAUUUCUAACUUUGAACCAUUAUCUGGUCAAAGAACAGUUUCAGGUGGGCAGUUUGACUGGGGCGGUCGCCUCCCAAAUGGUAACGGAGGCGUACAAAGGUUUCCUCUGAACGGGUAGAAAUCGUAUCUAGAGUGUAAAGGCAUAAGGAAGCUUGACUGUGAGACCUACAAGUCGAGCAGGGACGAAAGUCGGUCUUAGUGAUCUGACGGUACUGAGUGGAAAGGCCGUCACUCAACGGAUAAAAGUUA
rnacentral:rRNA from 1 species